UACGAAGGGUGCAAACGUUGCUCGGAAUUAUUGGGCGUAAAGCGCACGUAGGCGGCUUGGCAAGUCGGAUGUGAAAUCCCUCGGCUCAACCAAGGAAGUGCAUCCGAAAACUGCUGUAGCUUGAGUACUUAAGGAGGAUCGCGGAAUUCCCGGUGUAGAGGUGAAAUUCGUAGAUAUCGGGAGGAACACCAGUGGCGAAGGCGGCGAUCUGGGAAGAUACUGACGCUGAGGUGCGAAAGCGUGGGGAGCAAAGCAGGAUUAGAUACCC
rnacentral:rRNA from 1 species